UGGUUAAGUGACUAAGCGUACACGGUGGAUGCCUGGGCAGUCAGAGGCGAUGAAGGACGUACUAACUUGCGAUAAGCGCAGAUAAGGCAGUAAGAGCCGUUUGAGUCUGCGAUUUCCGAAUGGGGAAACCCAACUGCAUAAGCAGUUACUGUUAACUGAAUACAUAGGUUAACAGAGCAAACCGGGGGAACUGAAACAUCUAAGUACCCCGAGGAGAAGAAAUCAACCGAGAUUCCGGUAGUAGCGGCGAGCGAACCUGGAUUAGCCCUUAAGCACUCGGUGAAGUAGGUGAACAAGCUGGAAAGCUUGGCGAUACAGGGUGAUAGCCCCGUAACCGACGCUUCA
rnacentral:rRNA from 1 species